rnacentral:rRNA from 1 species
GAUGAACGCUGGCGGCGUGCCUAAUACAUGCAAGUCGAGCGAACAGACGAGGAGCUUGCUCCUCUGACGUUAGCGGCGGACGGGUGAGUAACACGUGGAUAACCUACCUAUAAGACUGGGAUAACUUCGGGAAACCGGAGCUAAUACCGGAUAAUAUAUUGAACCGCAUGGUUCAAUAGUGAAAGACGGUUUUGCUGUCACUUAUAGAUGGAUCCGCGCGGCAUUAGCUAGUUGGUAAGGUAACGGCUUACCAAGGCAACGAUGCGUAGCCGACCUGAGAGGGUGAUCGGCCACACUGGAACUGAGACACGGUCCAGACUCCUACGGGAGGCAGCAGUAGGGAAUCUUCCGCAAUGGGCGAAAGCUUGACGGAGCAACGCCGCGUGAGUGAUGAAGGUCUUCGGAUCGUAAAACUCUGUUAUUAGGGAAGAACAAAUGUGUAAGUAACUAUGCACGUCUUGACGGUACCUAAUCAGAAAGCCACGGCUAACUACGUG